rnacentral:rRNA from 1 species
GAUGAACGCUGGCGGCGUGCCUAAUACAUGCGAGUCGAGCGAACAGACGAGGAGCUUGCUCCUCUGACGUUAGCGGCGGACGGGUGAGUAACACGUGGAUAACCUACCUAUAAGACUGGGAUAACUUCGGGAAACCGGAGCUAAUACCGGAUAAUAUAUUGAACCGCAUGGUUCAAUAGUGAAAGACGGUUUUGCUGUCACUUAUAGAUGGAUCCGCGCCGCAUUAGCUAGUUGGUAAGGUAACGGCUUACCAAGGCGACGAUGCGUAGCCGACCUGAGAGGGUGAUCGGCCACACUGGAACUGAGACACGGUCCAGACUCCUACGGGAGGCAGUAGUAGGGAAUCUUCCGCAAUGGGCGAAAGCCUGACGGAGCAACGCCGCGUGAGUGAUGAAGGUCUUCGGAUCGUAAAACUCUGUUAUUAGGGAAAAACAAAUGUGUAAGUAACUAUGCACGUCUUGACGGUACCUAAUCAGAAAGCCACGGCUAACUACGUG